AAUCCUGCCGCUGCUGCCCACAGAAACUCACUCCACAUCUUCAGCUGUUGUUCUGCCCCUCAGUGCUGGUGAGCUGAACAGCACCUGCUGUAAUGUUGACUACAACACUGCAGACUCCUCCAUCUCCCAGUCUGGGCAAGUGGACCUUAGGAGAGACAUCCUCAGGUUUAUAAGGAGUCCAGAGAGUCGUCUCUGCUGGCAUGAAACUGCACACUGCUGGACGCUCGAGGUAAUCACAG